rnacentral:snRNA from 1 species
GUGUUUGCUUAGGCAGCACACAUCCUAAACUUGAAACAAGGCAGAGGUGAUCAGUAUCCCCCCCUGAGCGAUGAUGACGUGCACGUCAUGAGGCGGUCCAUGCUUUU